rnacentral:sRNA from 8 species
AUUCUGUCCUCACGGGGAAGGAUGAGAAGCUUCGACUAAGGUUCGAUUCGAGCGGAAGCGAGAAAGCGUUGCCGAAGGCAACGACCCGAAGGGCGAGGCGCAACGCGCCGAGUCAUCCUUCCCCCACCACCA